UGGGGAAUUUUGGACAAUGGGCGCAAGCCUGAUCCAGCCAUGCCGCGUGCAGGAUGAAGGCCUUCGGGUUGUAAACUGCUUUUGUACGGAACGAAAAGGUGCCUUCUAAUAAAGGGCGCUCAUGACGGUACCGUAAGAAUAAGCACCGGCUAACUACGUGCCAGCAGCCGCGGUAAUACGUAGGGUGCGAGCGUUAAUCGGAAUUACUGGGCGUAAAGCGUGCGCAGGCGGUUUUGUAAGACAGAGGUGAAAUCCCCGGGCUCAACCUGGGAACUGCCUUUGUGACUGCAAGGCUGGAGUGCGGCAGAGGGGGAUGGAAUUCCGCGUGUAGCAGUGAAAUGCGUAGAUAUGCGGAGGAACACCGAUGGCGAAGGCAAUCCCCUGGGCCUGCACUGACGCUCAUGCACGAAGGCGUG
rnacentral:rRNA from 1 species